GACGAACGCUGGCGGCGUGCUUAACACAUGCAAGUCGAACGGAAAGGCCCUGCUUGCCGGGUACUCGAGUGGCGAACGGGUGAGUAACACGUGGGUGAUCUGCCCUGCACUUCGGGAUAAGCUUGGGAAACUGGGUCUAAUACCGGAUAGGAGCCAUCUUUAGUGUGGUGGUUGGAAAGUUUUUUCGGUGUAGGAUGAGCUCGCGGCCUAUCAGCUUGUUGGUGGGGUAAUGGCCUACCAAGGCGGCGACGGGUAGCCGGCCUGAGAGGGUGUACGGCCACAGUGGGACUGAGAUACGGCCCAGACGCCUACGGGAGGCAGCAGUGGGGAAUAUUGCACAAUGGGCGCAAGCCGGAUGCAGCGACGCCGCGUGGGGGAUGAAGGCCUUCGGGUUGUAAACGCCUUUCGCUAGGGACGAAGCUUUUUGUGACGGUACCUAGAGAAGAAGCACCGGCUAACUACGUG
rnacentral:rRNA from 1 species